UACGUAGGGGGCAAGCGUUGUCCGGAUUUAUUGGGCGUAAAGAGCGUGUAGGCGGUUUGGUAGGUCCGUUGUGAAAACUCGAGGCUCAACCUCGAGACGCCGAUGGAAACCAUCAGACUAGAGACCGGGAGAGGUGAGUGGAAUUCCCAGUGUAGCGGUGAAAUGCGUAGAUAUUGGGAGGAACACCAGUGGCGAAGGCGGCUCACUGGACCGGUACUGACGCUGAUGCGCGAAAGCGUGGGGAGCAAACGGGG
rnacentral:rRNA from 1 species